GACGAACGCUGGCGGCGUGCUUAACACAUGCAAGUCGAACGGAGAACGAGGGAGCUUGCUCCCUCCGGAUCAGUGGCGAACGGGUGAGUAACACGUGAACAACCUACCCCUAACUCUGGGAUAAGCGUUGGAAACGACGUCUAAUACCGGAUACGACGUGGAAGGGCAUCGUCCCCGCGUGAAAAAAACUUCGGUUCGGGAUGAGAUGUCGGCCUAUCCGUUUUUGGGUGAGGUAUAGGCUAACCAAGUCGACGAGGGGUAGCCGGCCUGGGAGGGUGACCGGCCACCCUGGGCCUGCGGCACGGCCCAGUCUCCUACGGGCGGCAGCAGUGGGGAAUAUUGCAGAAUGGGCGCACGCCUGAUGUAGCAACGCCGGGUGAGGGAAGCCGGCCUUCGGGUUGUAAACCUCUUUUUGCAGGGCAGAAGCGAAAGUGACGGUACCUGCAGAAAAAGCACCGGCUAACUACGUG
rnacentral:rRNA from 1 species